ensembl:lncRNA
AUCCAGGACUGAGAUGCAGAUGUCAUAGUAAUGCAAGCAAAGUAUCCAAGAAAAACACAAUUAAAUUGACCUAGUUCAGAAACAGGGUGCUCCUUGUUAAUCUUGAGCCAUUUUUACCUUUGAAAAAUUAAAAUCACUGUCAAUAUUUUUCUUUUUAACUCUAGACUUUGAAUUAGAAUAUUUCUGUAUUUGGCUAUAGAUCUGAUUUUUAAUUUUUUUUAUUUCAAUCAAUUCUGAUGUUACUCAGAUGUUUUACCAUCAACACAAUGUAAACCACACAAAUUACAACAUGACCUCUGCAAGACAAGUGGCUUUCUGAUACAGAGAUGACUGAGGAUGUGGGGAAAGACCUGCCUUUGGCAGGAAGACUUAAUACUUUGAAUGAAAAAGAAAUUGAGAGUCAAUUUGCUCGAAACCUAAGAUAGACCAACUUGCUCAUUGGUUUGUUAGUAUCAGAUGCUCAGCUUGGCUUUGGCUAAUCCCGUCCGUUGGGCAAGCCUAACUGCUGUAAGGAAUUGGCCUUCGGUGCGUUGGUGGCUGACAUUUAUAAACUGGGAGGUUGCAAAGAAUCCACCCUAAAUUUUUCACAAAACUGCCAAAACUAUAAUUCCUAAUGAAAGAGAAUACUCUCUUUAAAGAGAGUUUUCCAUUUUCCUAAACUCCAGGAUUUAUAAAGCAAAUCACUCCAAGGUUUGUAAAGCAGAUUACCUCUUGCCCUUGGGUGCUAUCUAGCAGUAGAAGAUAAAUUGAAGACUGGUAAUUAAAAGACUCCAUAUAAAUCCAUUAACUGCCUUCCACGCAGCUUCAAACCUUAACAAGAUCUUAGUCUUUUCCAGGAAGAUUCACGAGGGCUAAUUAGAAGUCAGUUGGUAGUUGACCUCUUGUUUGCCGCUAUUAGCAAAACAGGAAGGGGAGAAAAAGGACCUGCUACAAAUUUAACCUUAUACCAAUUCAUUUAAAAUAGAAGUAGAGUUUCUCAUUAAAACUCAAUAUUAUAUUCUCACAUGUCUCUUUACUUCCUCAGUAUAAAAUCUUUGAAAAUCCCUGAAUAAACUAGUAUCGUUACUGGCACCUGAAACUAAUUUCUGAACUCGCAACAGUAAUCAGAGUUACCGUUAUUUAAUCUGUGUGCUUAAGUGAGGCGAUAUAUUGAAACCCUCCAAACCUUGUCUCACCUGUGUCAUCUUAUGCCACUGCCUUUCAGAAGUGAUUUAGUUGUAGAAAGAAAAAAAUUGAUUUGUUCUGGUUAUAUAUUUAGUGCACCCAAAGAAAACUAUAUUCCUUCGAUGAAAAUGCAUUUUGGAUACUAAAGUAGCUGAAGUCUCCUCUACUGAAUGUAAGGGAGGAGUCAAAAGAAGCCAUGAACUGCUUGCAUCCCAUCUUGCUUGUAUUACAGGAUGAGGAAGGAUAAUCCAAAAGUAUAGGUUAGAAAACCAAGUGCAGGGGCUGGUCCCGUGGCCAAGUGGUUAAGUUUGCGCGCUCCGCUGCAGGUGGCCCAGUGUUUCGUUGGUUCGAAUCCUGGGCACGGACAUGGCACUGCUCAUCAAACCACGCUGAGGCAGCGUCCCACAUGCCACAACUAGAAGGACCCACAAUGAAGAAUAUACAACU